rnacentral:rRNA from 1 species
UACAGAGGGGGCAAGCGUUGUUCGGAAUUACUGGGCGUAAAGGGCGCGUAGGCGGCCGCCUAAGUCAGACGUGAAAUCCCUCGGCUCAACCGGGGAACUGCGUCUGAUACUGGGUGGCUUGAAUCCGGGAGAGGGAUGCGGAAUUCCAGGUGUAGCGGUGAAAUGCGUAGAUAUCUGGAGGAACACCGGUGGCGAAGGCGGCAUCCUGGACCGAGAUUGACGCUGAGGCGCGAAAGCCAGGGGAGCAAACGGG